rnacentral:sRNA from 1 species
AUUUAGUAUUUACCAAUUUAGAGAUUCAAUUUUGAACAAUCGUUCCAUUGAUUAUUUUUUUCUUUUUUCAAAGAUAGUUCUAAAAAAAGUUUUAUUUUAUUUUAUUUUAUUUUUUGUUCAGAUUUUCAACGUUAAUGGUGGGGCAAACGGUUAUAUCGGUUGGUGACGGUCUUGUUUCUCUGACGAUAAUGAGGUGCGGUUGUUCCGCCUUCUAAUGCGAGUUGUGGUGAACUUCCCGACGACUUUACGCAUCCUUCUAGUCGUACCACUGAUUUAAAGACACCAAAAGAGGGACUAAAGAAAGUUGUCAGCUCACUUGUCGGAAGGGCUGUUGCAACUGGCGGCGGAAGUCAAAGACGGGUUGGUGGGGUUCACUACGAGUCGAGACGAUUAGCGCCAGAUUUGUCGGAUCUGAGGUGGCUAGGUGUGCAGAGGCGGUUAGGAUUUUAUUUGAGUCAACCGCUCUAAUCAUUGUUUUCGUGUGACCGGAUUUGAGGUUGUGGCGGUCAUAGAGGAAACUUGUGCUGGUUUCGGCGAUGGAGGUGAGAGUUCGAUUUAGGUUUUCGGUUACUUGGGUGGGGACUGGUUAAGCGGGUCUAUUGUUUAUUGUGAGAAUUUUCAGGUCGGCUCUGAUGUUGGCUUCGGGUUAGUGGCGAGAAUCGAUAACUUUGGUCAUGUCGCUCGAGUCGUGUAGGAGCAGCAACGAAGGCCUAUUGCUAUCGCCGGAGUUGGAGGUGGAGCCGGUGUUGCAGAAUUAACAGACUUUUUCAGAUUUUUGUGCUUGUGUUGACUAAAUUUUCCUUUCUCUUUUUAUACCGAUUAGCCUGUAUAAACCUAAUAUUGUAAUGCCCAUUGAGAAAAAUUAAUUUU